rnacentral:rRNA from 1 species
AUUGAACGCUGGCGGCAGGCCUAACACAUGCAAGUCGAGCGGAGCGGCGGUCGGGUGAGUAAUGCCUAGGAAUCCGCCUGGUAGUGGGGGAUACCGUCCGGAAACGGGCGCUAAUACCGCAUACUAUCAGAUGAGCCUAGGUCGGAUUGGCUAGUUGGUGGGGUAAAGGCCUACCAGGGCGACGAUCCGUAACUGGUCUGAGCGGAUGAUCAGGCACACUGGAACUGAGACACGGUCCAUACUCCUACGGGAGUAAGGAGUGGGGAAUAUUGGACAAUGGGCGAAAGCCUGAUCCAGCCAUGCCGCGUGUGGGAAGAAGGUCUUCGGAUUGUAAAGCACUUUAAGUUGGGAGGCGUUACCAACAGAAUAAGCACCGGCUAACUUCGUGCCAGCAGCCGCGGUAAUUC